GGCGGCGUAGCUCAAUUGGCAGAGCAGGGGAUUCAUAAGCCCCGGGUUGCAGGUUCGAGUCCUGCCGCCGCCA
rnacentral:tRNA from 1 species